rnacentral:rRNA from 1 species
CUCAGGAUGAACGCUGGCGGCGUGCUUAACACAUGCAAGUCGAACGAAGCACUUUAUUUGAUUUUCUUCGGAAAUGAAGAUUUGUGACUGAGUGGCGGACGGGUGAGUAACGCGUGGAUAACCUGCCUCAUACAGGGGGAUAACAGCCGGAAACGGCUGCUAAUACCGCAUAAGCGCACGGUACCGCAUGGUACAGUGUGAAAAACUCCGGUGGUGUGGGAUGGAUCCGCGUCUGAUUAGCCAGUUGGCGGGGUAACGGCCCACCAAAGCGACGAUCAGUAGCCGACCUGAGAGGGUGACCGGCCACAUUGGGACUGAGACACGGCCCAAACUCCUACGGGAGGCAGCAGUGGGGAAUAUUGCACAAUGGGGGAAACCCUGAUGCAGCGACGCCGCGUGAGCGAAGAAGUAUUUCGGUAUGUAAAGCUCUAUCAGCAGGGAAGAAGAAAUGACGGUACCUGACUAAGAAGCCCCGGCUAACUACGUG